rnacentral:rRNA from 1 species
AGAGUUUGAUCCUGGCUCAGGACGAACGCUGGCGGCGUGCCUAAUACAUGCAAGUCGAGCGGGACUUUGAUUGGUGCUUGCACCGAUUAAAGUUUAGCGGCGGACGGGUGAGUAACACGUGGGUAACCUGCCUUAUAGAUUGGGAUAACUCCGGGAAACCGGGGCUAAUACCGAAUAAUACUUUUAAACACAUGUUUGGAAGUUGAAAGACGGUCUCGGCUGUCACUAUAAGAUGGACCCGCGGCGCAUUAGCUAGUUGGUGAGGUAACGGCUCACCAAGGCAACGAUGCGUAGCCGACCUGAGAGGGUGAUCAGCCACACUGGGACUGAGACACGGCCCAGACUCCUACGGGAGGCAGCAGUAGGGAAUCUUCCACAAUGGACGAAAGUCUGAUGGAGCAACGCCGCGUGAGUGAAGAAGGAUUUCGGUUCGUAAAACUCUGUUGCAAGGGAAGAACAAGUAGCGUAGUAACUGACGCUACCUUGACGGUACCUUGUUAGAAAGCCACGGCUAACUACGUGCCAGCAGCCGCGGUAAUACGUAGGUGGCAAGCGUUGUCCGGAAUUAUUGGGCGUAAA